UACGAGGGGGGCAAGCGUUGUUCGGAAUUAUUGGGCGUAAAGGGCGCGUAGGCGGUGCGGUAAGUCUGUUGUGAAAUCUCCCGGGCUCAACUCGGAGUCUGCAUCAGAAACUGCCGUGCUCGAGUCCGGAAGAGGCGAGUGGAAUUCCUGGUGUAGCGGUGAAAUGCGCAGAUAUCAGGAGGAACACCAAUGGCGAAGGCAGCUCGCUGGGACGUGACUGACGCUGAGACGCGAAAGCGUGGGGAGCAAACAGG
rnacentral:rRNA from 1 species